rnacentral:rRNA from 1 species
AUGGACCAUUCCAUCCCUUUUUCCCGUGCAUAUGCAUCGGACUCAGAUGACGAUGGUCCCGAUGAACAAGUUGAUGCGGAGGGGUUCACGGUGAAGGAGGCCGAAGCUUUCGAGAAGGUAUUUGGUCGGGAUCAUCGGACUACAUUGUUCAAGGAUGUUAGUCUCGCGGAUGAAGCCGUGGUAGAUGGUGGCCAAUGUGUACCUCUUGGGGUUAGGCCAAGCUCUCAC